CCUACGGGUGGCAGCAGUGGGGGAUAUUGCACAAUGGGGGAAACCCUGAUGCAGCGACGCCGCGUGGGUGAAGAAGCGCCUCGGCGCGUAAAGCCCUGUCAGCAGGGAAGAAAAUGACGGUACCUGAAGAAGAAGCCCCGGCUAACUACGUGCCAGCAGCCGCGGUAAUACGUAGGGGGCAAGCGUUAUCCGGAUUUACGGGGUGUAAAGGGGGCGCAGACGGCGAUGCAAGCCAGGAGUGAAAGCCCGGGGCCCAACACCGGGACUGCGCCUGGAACUACGUGGCUAGAGUGCAGGAGGGGCAGGCGGAAUGCCUGGUGUAGCGGUGAAAUGCGUAGAGAUCAGGAGGAACACCGGUGGCGAAGGCGGCCUGCUGGACUGCAACUGACGUUGAGGCCCGAAAGCGUGGGGAGCAAACAGGAGUAGAUACCCCGGUAGUC
rnacentral:rRNA from 1 species